GUGACACUUCAGAACAUUCCUUGACUCCGGGAACCACAGGAAUGUUCAACACACCAGAAGGAAGAGCGGCUCCGCUUUAUGAUGCAUUGCAAAUGAAAGAUGUUGGAAUGCAAUCACAAUAUGAAGAAAUACUGCGACAGCGCAAUACCUCUGGAAGAUCUUCAUAUGAAGAUGUGAGCAGCCCUAUGAGCCAGACGAGAAUCGAACCCACAUACGUGAACUGAUAAACGCAGUUGUUAAAGUGCUCUGAGU